rnacentral:rRNA from 1 species
UACGUAGGCAGCGAGCGUUGUUCGGAAUUACUGGGCGUAAAGAGUGUGUAGGCGGUGCUCUAAGUUCGGUGUGAAAUCUCCUGGCUCAACUGGGAGGGUGCGCCGGAAACUGGAGUGCUUGAGCGUGGGAGAGGAAAGCGGAAUUCCUGGUGUAGCGGUGAAAUGCGUAGAUAUCAGGAGGAACACCGGUGGCGAAGGCGGGUCUCUGGGCCGUAACUGACGCUGAGGAGCGAAAGCGUGGGGAGCGAACAGG